rnacentral:rRNA from 1 species
ACGCUCGACACCUACGGGAGGCAGCAGUGAGGAAUAUUGGUCAAUGGGCGCUAGCCUGAACCAGCCAAGUAGCGUGAAGGAUGAAGGCUCUAUGGGUCGUAAACUUCUUUAUAUAAGAAUAAAGUGCAGUAUGUAUACUGUUUUGUAUGUAUUAUAUGAAUAAGGAUCGGCUAACUCCGUGCUAGCAGCCGCGGUAAUCUGAGCGGGCUGGCAAGGC